CCUACGAGAGGCUGCAGUGAGGAAUAUUGGUCAAUGGGCGCGAGCCUGAACCAGCCAAGUAGCGUGAAGGAUGACUGCCCUACGGGUUGUAAACUUCUUUUAUAAAGGAGUAAAUUGAGGCAAGUGUGCCUUUUUGUAUGUACUUUAUGAAUAAGGAUCGGCUAACUCCGUGCCAACAGCCGCGGUAAUACGGAGGAUCCGAGCGUUAUCCGGAUUUAUUGGGUUUAAAGGGAGCGUAGAUGGGUUGUUAAGUCAGUUGUGAAAGUUUGCGGCUCAACCGUAAAAUUGCAAUUGAUACUGGCAGCCUUGAGUACAGUUGAGGUAGGCGGAAUUCGUGGUGUAGCGGUGAAAUGCGUAGAUAUCACGAAGAACUCCGAUUGCGAAGGCAGCCUACUAAACUGUCACUGACACUGAUGCUCGAAAGUGUGGGUAUCAAACAGGAUUAGAUACCCGGGUAGUC
rnacentral:rRNA from 1 species